UACGUAGGCAGCGAGCGUUGUUCGGAAUUACUGGGCGUAAAGGGUGCGUAGGCGGUUUGAUAAGUCUGAUGUGAAAUCUAUGGGCUCAACCCAUAGUCUGCAUUAGAAACUGUCGGGCUUGAGUAUGGGAGAGGUGAGUGGAAUUUCCGGUGUAGCGGUGAAAUGCGUAGAUAUCGGAAGGAACACCUGUGGCGAAAGCGGCUCACUGGACCAUUACUGACGCUGAUGCACGAAAGCUAGGGGAGCAAACAGG
rnacentral:rRNA from 1 species